GCGAAGGUGGCGGAAUUGGUAGACGCACCAGACUAAGGAUCUGGCGGGGUAACCUGUGGGGGUUCGAGUCCCCCCCUUCGCA
rnacentral:tRNA from 3 species